rnacentral:rRNA from 1 species
CCUACGGGAGGCAGCAGUGGGGAAUAUUGCACAAUGGGGGAAACCCUGAUGCAGCAACGCCGCGUGAGUGAAGAAGUAUUUCGGUAUGUAAAGCUCUAUCAGCAGGGAAGAAAAUGACAGUACCUGACUAAGCAGCCCCGGCUAACUACGUGACAGGAGACGCGGUAAUACGUCGGGGGCAAGCGUUAUCCGGAUUGACUGGGGGUAAAGGGAGCGGAGACGGCUGCGCAAGUCAGAAGUGCAAGCCCGGGGCUCAGCCGCGGGACUGCUUUUGAAACUGGGUAGCUAGAGUGCAGGAGAGGUGAGUGGAAUUCCAGGUGUAGCGGUGAAAUGCGUAGAGAUUAGGAGGAAAACCGGUGGCGAAGGCGGCUUACUGGACUGUAACUGACGUUGAGGCGCGAAAGCGUGGGGAGCAAACAGGAUUAGAUACCCCUGUAGUC